rnacentral:tRNA from 2 species
GUUGCGGUGGCCGAGUGGUUAAGGCGUUGGACUCGAAGUACAAGUGGAUCUUCCCGCGCAGGUUCGAAUCCUGCCCGCAACG